AACGCGAAGAACCUUACCAGCCCUUGACAUCCCGGUCGCGGACUCCAGAGACGGAGUUCUUCAGUUCGGCUGGACCGGAGACAGGUGCUGCAUGGCUGUCGUCAGCUCGUGUCGUGAGAUGUUGGGUUAAGUCCCGCAACGAGCGCAACCCCCGUCCUUAGUUGCUACCAUUUAGUUGAGCACUCUAAGGAGACUGCCGGUGAUAAGCCGCGAGGAAGGUGGGGAUGACGUCAAGUCCUCAUGGCCCUUACGGGCUGGGCUACACACGUGCUACAAUGGCGGUGACAAUGGGACGCUAAGGGGCAACCCUUCGCAAAUCUCAAAAAGCCGUCUCAGUUCGGAUUGGGCUCUGCAACUCGAGCCCAUGAAGUUGGAAUCGCUAGUAAUCGUGGAUCAGCACGCCACGGUGAAUACGUUCCCGGGCCUUGUACACACCGGCUAC
rnacentral:rRNA from 1 species